UGCUGAUAUGGUUUAUGUUGGUUUGUGUAGGUUAUUAGGUUAUUUGCCAUGCUGAUUUGGUUUGUGUAGGUUAUUAGGUUAUUUGCCAUGCUGAUUUG